rnacentral:lncRNA from 1 species
CCUCUCCAUUUAAAAUAACAUAAACAUAUAACAAUCUCCUCUUUUUUGAUAAUAUAUUUAAAUAUAUACACUCUCUCCCUUUUUGACAUCAAAAAGAAGGACAACAAGAGAUACCACUAUAACAAGAAUAUCACAAGAUAUAUCUAGAGAGAAACUUGAUAUCCAUUCAGUUCAAUAAAGCCAUAAAUACAUCUAAAGUC